GCAAGUCAUCCUUGGCUA
rnacentral:snRNA from 1 species